GGACUGAGCACAGGGAGUGAGGGCAGGGGACUGAGCACAGGGAGUGAGGGCAGGGGACUGAGCACAGGGAGUGAGGGCAGGGUCUGACCACACGGAGU